AUGGUGCUUAGGGAUUCCGAGGGGGGGGUUAUUUUCUCGGCUUGCCGGUACCUGUUUAACUGCAAAGACGCACUUGAAGCAGAGAUUAGUGCUAUUCUUGAAGGACUAUCAAUUAGUAUACAAUGGUCGGAUUUUCCAAUUGUGAUCCAAUCCGAUAACGCGAUGGCUGUUGCUGCACUGACUGAUGACUCACUGGACCGUUCUGCAUACGGUUAUCUCAUGUUAGAAAUCAAGAAAACUCUUGAGUCGCGUGGGUUUAUUCCGUUGAAAAUUGAGCGUCAUCAAAAUAGAGUUGCUCAUAGUUUAGCUAGUAUAGGAAGAUCUGGUGGUAGCACCACUUGUUGGUUGCGCCGGGUGCCAGACAGUGUUGCUCAUGUUGUACUAGCUGACUGUAAUUCUGUUUCUGAGGAAUAA
rnacentral:rRNA from 1 species